UCGUUUUUGUAGAUAGUUUAUAUAUACGUUGUAAAUAAGCAAUAGGCUAUACAUUGGUUGAAAAUUACUUACAUUAUUUGUAUAUGAUCACAUCUGGAUUUGAGACAUUGUGGAAUGCUCCAUUUCUACAUCAGGGGGCUCCUGUUCAAAUAUUGUUUUACGUACCCUCCAAAACUGGCAGGCUAAAAAACAUAACACAUUGAAGUCAAUAAUGUAAGCACUUAAAUUAAGCCCGACAAACUCUAAAUGUGACCUAUAAUCAUUAAAAUAGUGGCUUAUUUUCCAUUAAGAAAUGUUGACCCCCCCUUCUCCCGCUUGGAGCAAACCUAUCGUAUCAGCUGUUGUAACGCAAAGUAACUGUUCCAUUUUUUGUGGCAGAUGCUGGCUUUUCCAGCAGCUGUGAUAUGAAAUUGAUUGGAUAUAAAUGUACAGAUCUGAAUGAAGUCAACAUGAGAAGGCAAGAAAUGUGACUUCAUGCAGGCGACUUUACAGUAAAUAUAUUGGGCACUGUCUUUAUCAGUCUCAUAUUGCUGUAUAACAGGAGGGGCCGGAGGAAGGAGAGUUACACUGAAACCUGCAGAGGUCCAGAAGAACCACAUCCAAACAUGAAAGUCUUUGCUUUUGGUCUCCUACUCCUGGUGGCCGUCAUCUAUGGUGAGGCCCUGCAGUGCCAUAACUGUAUCCGGGCCACACCAGGCAGUGGUGAUUGUGUGAAGACUGUGGAGACCUGUCCUCCUGAGCUGGACGCCUUCCCCUUAUGAGAACACCUUCCACAAGUCCUGCUUCAAGAUGAUGGAGUGCCUGAAGCUUGGUGUAACCAAGGGUCUGAGAGUCACCUGCUGCAACUGGGACAACUGCAACUUAUAAGACCCAUGGCCCAUACUCACCUUCUGUAUCAUUGGUAUGCGUGUGGCUGGAGCCCAGUUCAAAUGGCAAUGGAAUACAUUCAGUAUAGCAAAAUGGCAUUUGUUAUCUUUUGUUCCUGAUUUCAUAUGUCUCGAAAUGUCAUGAGAAGAACUUGUUUACAUGUGAUACGAAUUAUUCAUCACCCAACACCACCUCUUGCAUAAACUAUGCACACCAGUCAGUUGUUUUGUUGAGCUUUGAUAUUUCUAAAGGUUCUUUACACCCUGUCCCAAUAUGGAAUGUCCCAGUAUGGAACAUGACACUUCAAACCUUUGUCUUGUGAAAUCCGGUAAUUUCCAUUCCUUUACAGAGAGACAUAGGGUACUACUUGUGCUAAACCUGAGUAAAUAGAUUGCCCAAUAUCUCACACAAGUGACUCAUAGAUAACAGCUUUAUUAGCAUACUAUGCUGUAUAAAAUCAUCAUCAUCCAACACCAACUCUUACAUAAACUACACACACCAGUCAGUUGUUUUGUUGAGGUUUGAUAUUUCAAAAGUCUCUUUACACCCUGUCCCAAUGUGGAACACAAUUGCUGUUUUGUGGCACGCCCUGUUUCUGCAAACGUUUGUGUCUUGCGCAAUCUCUCGGGAAAAGCUGGAAUUUUAAUUGAUUUAGAAACAAACAUUAUUAUUGCUACAGAUGUAACGUGUGCGCUGGGAGUCAGGAAGCAAGUUCAGGGAGUGAAUAAUUUAAUAAAUGAAAAUAUAAUACAAAACACGAACAGCGCACAGGCAUGAAACUGAAACAACGACUCCUCGGGAAGGAACCAAAGGGAGUGACAUACAUAGGGAAGGUAAUCAGGGAAGUGAUGGAGUCCAGGUGAGCAUGGUAACCUAGAGUGCUGGAGAGAGCAUACGUGACGGUACCCCCUCCCUGGCGCGUUCGGCUCCAGCCGCAGGACGCCAACCAAAGGGACGAUCCCGGGGAUCAGGAGUGGACCGGUCAUCCCCGCUGAGGUGUGGGAGCCCGUCGAGCCCGCUGAGGCGUGGGAGCCCGUAUUUUUUGUAUAUAUAUUUCAAUUUAUUUUCAAUCUCUUUUCAAUUUUUAAUUAGAUUAUACCUUCCAAUAACCUGAUAACUCACCCAUUGUGAUACGGAAUCGCUAUUAUUUUAAAUUUUAGAACACAUUCAAGAACCUCCAGCAGCUAACCAGCUAAUUAGCUACAAGCUAUUUAGUCAUUGUCAGCCACUGCUUGCGGCUUUUACCACCUCCCGGCCUACUCAGCUGUUCACCCGAACCCCACUCAUACGCGGCUAGAGCCCAAUACUCCUCCGGAUCCUUGCUGUAAACUCUGGACCUUGGCACCGGAUCACCGCUGCUCCCGAUUGGAUAUAGUGACUAACGCCACUGCCACGAAGCUAGCACCAGUUAGCCGUGAGCCAGGCACAUCUCCCGGCCAGCAAACUAAAUUCCACAAUACCUCUUUCGCCAUCUGGCUUGGAUUCUCUGUCGACGCAGCCUAGUCAUCGCCAUUUUACCUGCUGUUGUUGUGUUAGCUGAUUCGCUGUUGUUGUCUCACCUGCUGUUUUAGCUAGCUCUCCCAAUCAACACCUGCGAUUACUUUAUGCCUCGCUGUAUGUUUCUCUCAAAUGUCAAAUGUCUUGUAUACUGUUGUUCAGGUUAGUUAUCAUUGUUUUAGUUUACAAUAGAGCCCCUAGUUCCACUCUUCAUACCUCCGAUACCUCCUUUGUCCCACCUCCCACACAUGUGGUGACCUCACCCAUUAGAACCAGCAUGUCCAGAGAUAGAACCUCUUUUAUCAUCACCCAAUGGAUGGGCUUACCUCCGCUGUACCCACACCCCACCAUACCCCUGUCUGCGCAUUAUGCCCUAAAUAUACUCUACCACGCCCAGAAAUCUGCUCCUUUUAUUCUUUGUCCCCAACGCUCUAGGCGACCAGUUUUGAUAGCUGUUAGCCGCACCCUACUUCUCCUAUGUUCCGCAGGUGAUGUGGAGGUAAACCCAGGCUCUGCGUGUCCCCAGGCACCCUCAUUUGUUGACUUCUGUGAUCGAAAAAGCCUUGGUUUCAUGCAUGUCAACAUCAGAAGCCUCCUCCCUAAGUUUGUUUUACUCACUGCUUUAGCACACUCUGCCAACCCUGAUGUCAUUGCUGUGUCUGAAUCCUGGCUUAGGAAGGCCACCAAAAAUUCGGAGAUUUCCAUACCCAACUAUAACAUUUUCCGUCAAGAUAGAACUGCCAAAGAGGGAGGAGUUGCAGUCUACUGCAGAGAUAGCCUGCAAAGUAAUGUCAUACUUUCCAGGUCCAUACCCAAACAGUUUGAACUUCUAAUUUAAAAAAUGAAUCUCUCCAGAAAUAAGUCUCUCACUGUUGCCGCCUGCUACCGACCCCCCUCAGCUCCCAGCUGUGCCCUGGACACCAUUUGUGAAUUGAUCGCCCCCCAUCUAGCUUCAGAGUAUGUUCUGUUAGGUGACCUAAACUGGGAUAUGCUUAUUAACACCCCGGCAGUCCUACAAUCUAAGCUAGAUGCCCUCAAUCUCACAGGAACCCACCAGGUACAACCCUAAAUCUGUAAACAAGGGCACCCUCAAAGACGUUAUCCUGACCAACUGGCCUUCCAAAUACUCCUCCGCUGUCUUCAAUCAGGAUCUCAGCGAUCACUUCCUCAUUGCCUGUAUCCGCUAUGGGUCCGCAGUCAAACGACCACCCCUAAUCACUAUCAAACGCUCCAUAAAACACUUCUGCGAGCAGGCCUUUCUAAUUUACCUGGCCCGGGUAUCCUGGAAGGAUAUUGACCUCAUCCCGUCAGUUGAGGAUGCCUGGUCAUUCUUUAAAAGAAACUUCCUCACCAUCUUAGAUAAGCAUGCUCCAUUCAAAAAAUGCAGAACUAAGAACAUGUAUAGCCCCUAGUUCACUCCAGACCUGACUGCCCUCGACCAGCACAAAAACAGCCUGGGGUGGACUGCAAUAGCAUCGAAUAGUCCCUGCGAUAUGCAACUGUUCAGGGAAGUCAGGAACCAAUACACACAGUCAGCAAACGCCAGCUAUUUCAAGCAGAAAUUUGCAUCCUGUAGCUCUAACCCCAAAAGGUUCUGGGACACUAAUGUCCAUGGAGAACAAGAGCGCCUCCUCCCACCACUGCACUGAGGCUAGGUAAAACGGUCACCACCGAUAAAUCCAUGAUAAUCGAAAACUUCAACAAGCAUUUCUCAACGGCUGGCCAUGCCUUCCUCCUGGCUACUCCAACCUCGGCCAACAGCUCCGCCCCGCCCGCAGCUACUCGCCCAAGCCUCCCCAGCUUCUCCUUUACCCAAAUCCAGAUACCAGAUGUUCUGAAAGAGCUGAAAAACCUGGACCCAUACAAUUCAGCUGGGCUUGACAAUCUGGACCCUCUAUUUCUAAAACUAUCCGCCGCCAUUGUCGCAACCCCUAUUACCAGCCUGUUCAACCUCUCUUUCAUAUCGUCUGAGAUCACCAUGGACUGGAACGCUGCCGCGGUCAUCCCCCUCUUCAAAGGGGGAGACACCCUGGACCCAAACGGUUACAGACCUAUAUCCAUCCUGCCAUGCCUAUCUAAGGUCUUCGAAAGCCAAGUCAACAAACAGAUCACUGACCAUCUCGAAUCCCACCGUACCUUCUCCGCUGUGCAAUCUGGUUUCCGAGCCGGUCACGGGUGCACCUCAGCCACGCUCAAGGUACUAAACGAUAUCAUAACCGCCAUCGAUAAAAGACAGUACUGUGCAGCCGUCUUCAUCGACCUGGCCAAGGCUUUCGACUCUGUUAAUCACCAUAUUUGUCACGCCUUGGUCUUAGUAUUUUGUGUUUUCGUUAUUUAUUUUAGUCAGGCCAGGGUGUGACAUGGGUUUAUUUUGUUGUGUUUCGUAUUGGGGUUUUAGUAGGCAUUGGGAUUGCGGCUGAGUAGGGGUGUCUAGCAUAGGCUUGGCUGCCUGAGGCGGUUCUCAAUCAGAGUCAGGUGAUUCUCGUUGUCUCUGAUUGGAACCAUAUUUAGGUAGCCUAGGUUUCACUGUGUGUUUUGUGGGUGAUUGUUCCUGUCUCUGUGUUUGUUGUCACAAGAUAGGCUGUAUAGGUUUUCUCGUUUCGUUUGUUGUUUUGUAUAUUUAGUUAUUUCAUGUAUCAUUCAUUUUUCAUUAAACAACAUGAGUAACCACCA